AUGAGGGUCUUGUUUUUUGUCUUUGGAGUCCUUUCCUUGAUGUCCACAGUUCCUCCAAGUAAGGCAAGAAGCUUCACUUCUAAUGAUGAAUGUCCUUCAGAAUAUUAUCAUUGCAGACUGAAGUGCAAUGCUGAUGAACAUGCAAUUAGAUACUGUGCUGACUUCAGCAUCUGCUGCAAACUGAAGAUCAUUCAAAUUGAUGGACAAAAGAAGUGG
rnacentral:lncRNA from 1 species